AACGAACGCUGGCGGCAGGCCUAACACAUGCAAGUCGAACGCAUCCUUCGGGAUGAGUGGCGCACGGGUGAGUAACGCGUGGAAAUCUACCUCGGGAUGGGGAAUAACCAUUGGAAACGAUGGCUAAUACCGCAUACGCCGGAAACGGGAAAGCUUUAUGCGUCCUGAGAUGAGUCCGCGUUAGAUUAGAUAGUUGGUGGGGUAACGGCCUACCAAGUCGACGAUCUAUAGCUGGUCUGAGAGGAUGAUCAGCCACACUGGGACUGAGACACGGCCCAGACUCCUACGGGAGGCAGCAGUGGGGGAAUAUUGGACAAUGGGCGCAAGCCUGAUCCAGCCAUGCCGCGUGAGUGAAGAAGGCCUUAGGGUUGUAAAGCUCUUUCGUACGGGGAAGAUGAUGACGGUACCCGUAGAGAAAGCCCCGGCUAACUCCGUGCCAGCCGCCGCGGU
rnacentral:rRNA from 1 species